UACUGAUUGGGUUCUGCAGGUGCCCUGUGGGGCCUGCAGGGGAAAGACAUGGGUCCUCAGUCUCUCUGGAAGCCUGAGACUUAGGACGUGCUGGCUUGGGAAAGACAGCUGCCCACCAAAUUCUUGGCUCAAACUGCUCUCCCAGCUGCAGUGAGUGGGGGAGAGGUGGCAAAGAAUAAGUGUCUGAAUGGGGGAAAGCUGGCUUUUUGGCCUCUCAGGUCACUGUCCUUAGAGGGGAACCCACAUGGAAUGCUUAAGCUCUGGGAGCUUCCAAGUUCUCCCCACAAUUCCAUGUUUGCCAGAGUGCUUGGGCUUCAUGGGGGAGGAAAAGCUUCCAAGAAACUUGGCAGCCUGCUGUCACCAAAGGAGUGUGGAAGGGAGAAAGGGACCCCCGUUACCUGUUUCACUGAGCUCCUAGACUCUCUUGUUUUGAUCCUCGCUGAUAUCUUUUUUUCCUUUAUCUUCUUUUUUCUUUGCUUCACAAUUUUUCCCUGUGAGGUCCCCAGUAGUCUCUGGCACUUCUCUCUAUGAUCUACACCUGAAGUGCAUCCUCUCCCCUGUCCUCUAUCUGAAACCCUACCUUACUUCUGGGAUGGUCCAGCAAGCGAUGUCUCUAGUCAGCCACCUGUCCCCCUCCCAUAAACUAUUUCCAAUUAAGAUGUGGGUAUAAACUACCCUUGUUUGGCCUCUCUCAGUCUACCUGCUUGGCUUAGCAUUCUGAUGUCAAUUGUGGGAAAAUCUAUGAUGGAGCAUUGAUAAAGCAAUCCCUGGAUGUUCAGCUUGUCCAUUAGUCAAGGAAUGAAGAUAAAAAAGAUGAAGAAAGAGGAAAUGUUAGAAUCUUAGCAGCUGCUCCACCUCUACUCAGCUCAUCUCCUCGUCAUGGUCACACACACUGGUACCGUCCUCACCAGCCCUUACCCUGGCUUCCCUAAAUAGAGAUUCUUUUCACUCGAGACCUAGUGCAUUUGGUACAACUGUAUUAAUAAGGUAAAGAGUGCAGCCUGAGACUAAUUUUCUACUGAAAUGUGGAUUUAUGUUAUCUAAGCCCUUUUUUCACUGAGAUUAUUGUUACCAUCCAUAGGUACCUCUAAAAUAACUAGGUGAAAAGAACGAGUGAUGUCACAUAAGAAAGACUGCUAUUGCCUCCUUUUUACAAAUGGCAAAUAAACAGCAAGUGGAUAGAUGACAGAUAGAUAGAAUUUUUAUUUGUUCUAAGAAUGCGGAAUAAAGAAAAAACAUUUUUUGUAUGACGAACGAAUACUUAUAAGCCCCAGAUAGUGGCUAUAAAAGGAGUAAGUGGGCAAAUUAAAGAAGAAAGAAAGGAAGACAGGAAGGAUAGAAGGAAAGAAGGGAGGUAAAAGAAAUCAAGAACAGGAUCAAAUACCAAAAAGUGAAAUUCUUAUUCCCAACUCUUCAUCUACUGAAAUCUCUAAACUGACCCUGGUCCCCACAUCCACUCAUUUAGGAAGGUUCCAUUCCUCUUGCCAAAAGAUAGGAGGAUGGAGAUGGACAUUGUUAUUCCAUCACAGUAAAAGAAGAUGCAUUGUUGCCUUCACAGAUUAGAAAUGCAUUACUGAGUUUUCAUAGAAAUUUGUAGUGUGUAAAGUUUUGUAGUAUUACACAGCACUCUAC